CUACGGGAGGCAGCAGUGGGGAAUUUUGGACAAUGGGGGAAACCCUGAUCCAGCCAUUCCGCGUGUGCGAUGAAGGCCUUCGGGUUGUAAAGCACUUUUGGCAGGAAAGAAAUCGCACGGGUUAAUAACCCGUGUGGAUGACGGUACCUGCAGAAUAAGCACCGGCUAACUACGUGCCAGCAGCCGCGGUAAUACGUAGGGUGCAAGCGUUAAUCGGAAUUACUGGGCGUAAAGCGUGCGCAGGCGGUUCGGAAAGAAGGAUGUGAAAUCCCAGGGCUUAACCUUGGAACUGCAUUCUUAACUACCGGGCUAGAGUAUGUCAGAGGGAGGUGGAAUUCCGCGUGUAGCAGUGAAAUGCGUAGAUAUGCGGAGGAACACCGAUGGCGAAGGCAGCCUCCUGGGAUAAUACUGACGCUCAUGCACGAAAGCGUGGGGAGCAAACAGGAUUAGAUACCCCUGUAGUCCC
rnacentral:rRNA from 1 species